rnacentral:lncRNA from 1 species
GAAUUUGUAAACAGAGAUAGGAGGAAGAAAUAAAUGAGAGAGGAAGGUUGUGAUGAAGACGAGUGCUGAGCAAAGUCAGCAAGUUGUCUGCUACAAUAAUAUUCGAUAUAUAAAAAAGAUUGAAGCUUAGCUUUCAAUGCGCAGGCACGGCAUCUGCGUGAUCUCCGGUGAAGAUGUAAUUUAAUUUUCUUUAUCUAUAUCAAAUUCCAAAAUAUACUACAUACUUUCAUAAAUAUUUCUGAUUUCUCUACGUAUCUUGAGAUUAAGUUCUUGCCGAACUGGCAAGUGGGGUUUUAUGUACAUUAUUCGUUUUCGUCCAAGGCUUCGAAUUUUGGACGAACUCACGAGAAAGAAAAUUUCUUAGAUGUCUUGUUUAAGAUCUAAGCAGGGAAGGAUUUAAUUUCGAUGCAUAAAAAUUUGUCCGAAAAUCUCAUAAAUGUCUCUGGCUCUGGUGUUUCUGGAGAGGUCACAUAAAAUGUGGCAGAGAUUGUAGGGAAGGAGUAAAUGCAGAUUCAGUAUGGGAUUGCGCGCGGUUUCAUUUAAAGUAAAAUGUUUCUUCACCAUUGAUGAGUAUUUAUCAACACAGUCAAUCAAUGUCUCUUCACCAUUGAUGAGUGUUUUUCAACACAGUCAAUUAAUGUUUCUUCCAAAUGGAUACAAAAAUUUGCUCUCACCCAUCAAUUUUCAACAUUUACCAUACUCAACAACCAAAACUCUCUCUCUCUCUCUCUCUCUCUAGUUUCUAGAUUGAGAGUACAAAUGGGAUUUUUGGUGGCUGAACCAGAAGCGAUGAUAAUCAUGUAACUGUGGAGAUUCUUGUUUUUACGCAGUAAUUCUGCAGAUGCUUUUUAUGGACAGCCUCAAACCCGAGGUUUAGGUUUUCCAAUGUCAGAGAGAUUCUUUUAGGACGCAGUUAUCAUGUAUGAA